UACGUGAAACCGUUCAGGGGUAAACGGGAGAAAUCCUGAAUUCGAAAGGGGAUACGGAUUCAACUCAAGCCGGUCGCGCAGGCCGCAUCGCCCAACCAGAUGAUGCUGGUCGCCCGCUGCGAUUCACUUCGCUUGCGGUGUCGUUCCCGGCGGUCACUCGGAGGGGUUGCGUUGCUCUCGCGCCGGAUGAGUGCACUUCCCCCCUAGUAGAAACGUCGCGACCCGUUGGGUGCCGGUCUAAGGCCCGGGAAGGCAGACCGUGCGUCCUGUGGGUGCCCCCACAGGCGAACGGACUCUCGGUGUCCCGGCCGGCUGCCCGACGGUAGGACCAGAGGAGUAGAUCCGCUGAAUGGGAAACACUUUGGCUGUGUAGCGUCCGGCCCGGCGCCGAUGCGUGUGGGGAAUGUGGUGCAAACCGGGGGUGUCCGUGCGAAGCACGGUCCCGGCCCUGCUGCGUCUUCGGAUUUGCCGGUGUCCUCGGACUGGAUCGUUGCUCCCGUCUGCGACGCCCAUCUUCGGAUGG
rnacentral:rRNA from 1 species